rnacentral:rRNA from 1 species
AGUGAACGCUGGCGGCGUGCCUAAUACAUGCAAGUCGAACGGAGUGGCGCACGGGUGAGCAAUAUAUAGCUAAUCUGCCCCUUGCUGGAGGACAACAGUUAGAAAUGCCUGCUAAUACUCCAUAGCAAGGGAUGAGACUAUAUCGUAUCAGCUCGUCGGUGUGGUAACGGCCUACCGAGGCUAUGACGCUUAACUGGUCUGGGAGGAGGAUCAGUCACAUUGGAACUGAGACACGGUCCAAACUCCGACGGGAGGGAGCAGUAGGGAAGAUUGCGCAAUGGGGGUGACCCUGACGCAGCAACGCCGCGUGGAGGAUGACACUUUUCGGAGCGUAAACUUAUUUUGUUAGGGAAGGGGUAACUAACGAAUAAGCAACGGCUAACUCCGUGCCGGCCGCCGCGGUAAUAC